rnacentral:rRNA from 1 species
AUGCUGCGCUGGAGGAGGCGCUGUCGUGCUCGCCUGCGCAAGGUGCGGGCUUUGCAAGGCAGGGCUCGCUGCUCUCCAAGGGGCAGGCGACAGCCACUGGUGACACCGUGUGUCACAACACACGUAUUUUCAACUUGUACACUGCAAAAGCACGCAACCGCACUCGUUUCUAUCCCCCCCUUCCGCGCCUGGAGAGGAGCUCCAGCUGUGCCACGAGCAGGCCAGCCCAGGAGCUGUCACUUCCCCCUCUCUCCUUCUCUCUCUCGACUUUUACCUUCUUUUUCUCUUUGUUUCUAA